ACCUCCACCGGGCAGGGGAGACACCAUGAUCCGGAAGGUGGUUUUCCCAGGGAGGGCGAGGCUCACCCAGUGCACUGCGGGUGUGCUGAUCCCUGCGGUUUCCCCAAAUGCGGGAAAUUCGACUGCAUGCUUUGUGGUAGUGGGGACUGCGUUCUCUCUCUCCCCU
ensembl:snRNA U1 U1 spliceosomal RNA